rnacentral:tRNA from 2 species
GGACCCAUAGCUUAAUUGGAUAGAGCAUCUGACUACGGAUCAGAAGGUUAGGGGUUCGACUCCCUUUGGGUCCACCA